rnacentral:misc_RNA from 1 species
AAGUCGUAACAAGGUAUCCGUUGGUGAACCAGCGGAUGGAUCAUUACCUGACCUGACAAGGUGCUAACAGCAACAGCGUGGUUGAUCGUAGUGAUCGACCUCUGGCGUGGCUGGAGACCAGCUGGAGCCAGUACUUGUAGUGUGCUUUGUUGCACGCUUGAUGAGUGAAGGAGUUGCUGGAGUGGCGAGAUGCCCCUCAAUUCCUGAUACCUGCCAUUGACUGACACUAAAGCGAUUGUCUCAAUUGAAUGACAACUGCUGGCCGUGGAUCACUUGGCUGAC